AAACUCUUGGUGUGCAGUGCAGUGGGUGAUUUUUAGAGGCUUAGGGCAAGCCCUAUAUAGCCGACAAAAUGUGCCUGCUCCAAGCAGUGAAAAGUAUGGAGUAGGGCGGUGAUUUGCAGUGAGAUCGGCCUUUCGUUCACUGCAUAAAUUAUGUGGUGUGUCCUGUGAGCUGCAUUCCAGAGCGAUGGUGGACUGGAGUGGCUGGCACGGAUGGCUGGCAUGAGCCGGCAAGCAUUCGCGUUCUGUCCGGGCAGACAUCAAGGUUUGCGGUCGCCGAGGGAUACACGGUUACACUGACACACACACAAAUUAAACUUUAGGUUAAGGAUUUAGCGUAAGUAUACUAAUAUACAUCUUGAAAAUGCAUGUGAAAUUUAUGUUUUUAUUUUGUGCAAUGAUUCCGAGU